rnacentral:rRNA from 1 species
UACGUAGGGGGCAAGCGUUGUCCGGAUUUAUUGGGCGUAAAGAGCGUGUAGGCGGUUUGGUAGGUCCGCUGUGAAAGCUCGGGGCUUAACCCCGGGUCUGCAUUCGAUACGGGCUGGCUGGAGUGUGGUAGGGGAGAUCGGAAUUCCUGGUGUAGCGGUGAAAUGCGCAGAUAUCAGGAGGAACACCGGUGGCGAAGGCGGAUCUCUGGGCCAUUACUGACGCUGAGGAGCGAAAGCGUGGGGAGCGAACAGG